rnacentral:rRNA from 1 species
UCUCCUGGAAAACGGGUGGUAAUGCCGGAUGCUCCGACUCCUCGCAUGGGGUGUCGGGAAAGAUUUCAUCGGUAUGGGAUGGGGUCGCGUCCUAUCAGGUAGUCGGCGGGGUAACGGCCCACCGAGCCUACGACGGGUAGCCGGCCUGAGAGGGCGACCGGCCACAUUGGGACUGAGAUACGGCCCAGACUCCUACGGGAGGCAGCAGUGGGGAAUAUUGCACAAUGGGCGCAAGCCUGAUGCAGCGACGCCGCGUGCGGGAUGACGGCCUUCGGGUUGUAAACCGCUUUUGAUCGGGAGCAAGCCUUCGGGUGAGUGUACCUUUCGAAUAAGCACCGGCUAACUACGUGCCAGCAGCCGCGGUAAUACGUAGGGUGCAAGCGUUAUCCGGAAUUAUUGGGCGUAAAGGGCUCGUAGGCGGUUCGUCGCGUCCGGUGUGAAAGUCCAUCGCUUAACGGUGGAUCUGCGCCGGGUACGGGCGGGCUGGAGUGCGGUAGGGGAGACUGGAAUUCCCGGUGUAACGGUGGAAUGUGUAGAUAUCGGAAAGAACACCACCC